GCCAGCGUGGUUUAGUGGUUUGAGCAUUGGACUAUGACACUGGGAGACCAGGGUUCGAACCCCAGCUCAGCCA